UGCCACACUCCUGGACUUCAUGUGCCGUGUAAGUGCCAGAGCCCCCUCUCCUCCCAGUUCCUGGAUGCAGAGUUACAUCUGUAUCCAUAGUCUUUCACUGAUGGAGUCUUUCCUGGCCCCCUUGUCCGGAGCAGAAGUGGUCAACUCAGUGAAUGCUUCCCUUCAUAUUACCACUGCUCCAGUUGGAUCAUCCCUUGUUUCCAUGAUUUUCUCAAUUGUAGGAUGACAACUCAAGGUAGAAUCUAGUCUCCUUGAGAAGCAGCUGGGUCCAGUAAGUGUCCCAACUGCCUAGCCUGAAAUAGUCAGAUAUGCUCCAUUCCUCUGCAGACAUACUACCCCAGUGUUCCCUGACCACAACCAAAGCAGUUUCUUAGAUCUAGUUCAGCAGAACACUCUAUUCAGAGUCCUGUGCCAUUCUUCCCUCCUCUUCUUUCCUUCCAGAUCAUUCCCAACUUCUAUCCACCUUUGGAAGGCCAUGUGCGGCAGGGUGUCUUUUCUUCCCUCAACCACAUUGUGGAGAAACGGGUCUUGGCGUAAGGAGUUUAUAUGUAGGGAGGUGGAGGUAUGGGGUUCUCCCAUUUUUCCUUAGGUCCAGCCCCCUCUGGGUCAGGCACAUCCAGAUAUUGUCAUAACACUGCUGACCCUUUCCCCUGGCAGGUAUAACAAGUACUGGAUUCCUCUCCCCCACCCCCAAACUACGGGGCAUAUGUCCUGUUGAGUCUCAAAGGAAUUUCUCUCCUGCCAUUAUAUUACAAAGGGCUUCAAAUGCCUUCCUUUCCCGUUACCCCUUGGAAGGAUCUGAGGAUGUCCCAGUCUUACUGAUUGGACCUAGGUCUCACUCUUUAUCUCCAUGUUGAGUUAGAAAUGAGGAACUCUGAUGUUGACCUUCAUUUAUGUUUCCCAUUAGACACUUGGCUCCCCUGUUUGACAACCCUAAAUUGGAUAAAGAGCUGCGGGCCAUGCUGAGAGAGAAAUUUCCUGAAUUCUGCAGCUCACCCUCCCCACCUGUGGAAGGUAUGGUGGUAGUCCUGCUGUCAUCUGUGUUAGAAGAAGGAUGAAGCCAUCCAAGGUGUAGACUAGAGCCCUGUUUGUGAUGUUGUCCCUGGGGAGUUCUCCUCUUAACACUGUCUCAGUGUUCUCUUUUUAUUAUUGCUGUGUUGUCUCCCUUGGUUCUCUCUCGCUCCAUCAAAUCUUACUUGAUUUUUCCCUCAUCUGUCUUGAUCUCUUAACCCUUUUUUUCUCUCCAGUAAGUAGAGGCCCUCAUGGAAUGUUUGUUGUCUCACUGUACCCAUCCCUUCUCUCUUCCCAUCCCUCCACCCUUGCCCCUGAUGAGAGGUUGCACAGUAGGUCCCAGUCUGCCAUUUCCCUGCCAGCCAUCCCCCACAUACUUUUUGUCUUGGGAUCAGGGCUUAAGCCAAGCACUACUUCCGAAUUUGGUUUUAAAUUAAAGAGCACAAGAGAUUGUCUCCACUCAUCCUGAGCUAAGGAUAGAAAAUUCAUGUCCUGUGUUGUUCCUUUUCCUGGCAGCAUCUCCCUACAGGUCAUAGAAGGUUGUAAGGACAAGAGAUUUGUCCUUGCAGGUUCAGUGUUCCAUUUAGCACAUAAACUCUGUAUUCUCCCACUUACACUCCAGCCUCCCCUUCCCAGAAGCUUGGGACAUACUGGAGGCCAUCAGAUACCUUUCUCUCUUUACUCCCAAGUCAAAAUUGAAGAGCCAGUUUCCAUGGAGAUGGAUAACCAUCUGUCAGAUAAGGAUGAGAGUUGCUACGACAAUGCUGAGGCAGCCUUCAGUGAUGACGAGGAGGAUCUCAACAGCAAAGGUGAGGAUGGCAUAGGAGGUGGCUCAGGAUUGUGACAGCCCUGGGAGGGUCAUUUCCCAGGAGCAGCCUGUCUGCAGUCUUUCUGUCCUAUCAUCUCUGCCCGCCUGAGUCCGUCUUGGUAACAGCAUCACUGAAUGAGACUCAGGGUGUAAGCCCUGCAUUUAACUUACGAGGUAAAAUAAGUGGUUCCUGCCCACUUGUGGGUAAGAGCUAGGACAUGUAUACAAUCAUGUAUUUGCACAGCAUUGAGUAAACAGUCCCCAAGGACUGUGGGGAAGGAACAGAUGAUUUAAGGGGACUCUGUGUUGCUGGCAUUUGAGCAAAUUGACUUCUAAAUCUCUCCCUUCAGGAAAGAAGAGAGAGUUUCGUUUCCACCCUAUCAAGGAGACAGUUGUGGAGGAGCCAGUUGAUAUCACCCCUUACCUCGACCAGUUGGAUGAGUCCCUAAGGGACAAAGUACUCCAGCUACAGAAGGGGAGGUAGGUACAGACCCUUCUCCUCACCUUGUGGGGGGAUGUCCAGUCCAUGCUUUCUCCCUUGUGCCUAGUAUGUGUGGCAGAAUGAUGUGGCUUGGAGAGCAAUGUGAUGGGGUAUAUGGGAAGGUAGCUGAAGCUUCAUGAGUGAUGUCUUCCGCAGCUUAUGUUGGGGAGUACGAGUACAGGCAGGGAGUGGAUUGGCCUGUACUCUAACACCUUGGUUCCUACUCCCUAGGUUCUGAGGAUAAUAGCCUCAGAGAACACAUGUAAGAUGGAUGGGGAUUUCCCUAUUCUUUGGGCCUCUGCCCAGAAAACAGCAAAUUCUGCCCUAAUUCUGCCUCCCUCACCCAAGCUGGGAUUUUACAUAGAGCUCCUUUGUUUUGUCUCUGUUCGUUUGAGUGCUCGUGUAUAGUGUUCUCUGUGUCCUGCCUUCUGCUAUCAUUUAUGUCCUUGGGAUUUCCUCUCACUUCUGUACUGCAGUGAUACAGAGGCCCAGUGUGAGGUCAUGCAGGAAAUUGUGGACCAGGUCCUGGAGGUGAGGAGGAACCUACGCCCUUAGGGAGGAAGGAGCCCAGCUGUCCAAGUUAGAGCUCCCCAUGCAGGUGUCUCCCUGGGAAUGUGACUCCCUCCUUCCUCUCCCCUAGAAGAGUCCCUCUCAGGGGGGCUGGAGAAUUGCUGAUCCUGUAGGUGGAAGCAGAUAAGCUCAGAGGCUCUGGGGCAGUGGGGACAGUGGGCACAGUGAGGUUUGGACCUGGGUCAUGAUAUCCUUUCCUUCCCUUAUCUACCACCCAGGAAGACUUCGACUCAGAACAGCUGUCUGUCCUUGCUUCCUGUCUACAAGAGCUCUUCAAGGCCCACUUCCGAGGAGAGGUGCUGCCUGAGGAGGUCACAGAGGAGUAAGGCUCAUCUUCCCUGAUGCCCUUGGCCUCAGGAGCCAGAAAUAUGUUCUUACAACCCAAGCCCAAGAGGCACCAUGCUGUAGACUUGAGAAGAAGAAUCUGUUCACUUGGUUUUCUGAUUCCUGAUGUGUACUGAUUGAAAAUGAGGGUUUAUUUUGCCUGCUGGACCCUGUGUGUACUGGAGUUGUAGACUAGUAUCCCUGCCCUGUCCUUCCAGCCCUGCUGCUGGGCCAGUAGCCCCAACCUUUAUUUCUUCAAGUAGAAUUGGAUCCUAGAUUCCCCCUGAAGAGAGGAAUCUCCCUUUCUGUGAUAAUGAUAGCCUCAGACUGUGAUUUCCAGGUUGGGAACUUGUUUUCUCUGCUAUCAAGCUUCUGGAGCCACAGGAAGUUUGCCUUUUGGGUAGGAUAGGAGCAGGCUGGUGUCUGGCCUCUGUGUGGUCCCCCUGUGAUCUGCCUGCAGCUGCCCCUCCUCUUCUGUGGAUUCUCAUGUGUGACCCUUCUUUCGUAGGUCCCUGGAGGAAUCUGUAGGGAAGCCUCUCUACCUGAUAUUUAGGUAAGCACCCAGUGGUAAGAGGAACUGCUCUCCCCUCCAUUCUCCCUACAGCACACAUUUGUCCCUGUCCUGGGUCACAUGGCUCUGUUUCCAGAGAGGAGGAGGUUUGUAGUGGGCAGAGUCUCCCUGGGUAAUGCCUCUCCUUUUCCCCCACCUCCAGGAACCUGUGCCAGAUGCAGGAAGACAACAGCAGCUUCUCUCUGCUCCUGGACCUUCUGUCUGAGCUCUAUCAGAAGCAGCCCAAGAUUGGCUACCACCUGCUCUACUACCUGAGGGCCAGGUGGGUGUCGGGUAGCUACUGGAGAGCCAGCCUUUC
rnacentral:lncRNA from 1 species